GCGCCCGUAGCUCAGCUGGAUAGAGCACUGGCCUUCGAAGCCAGGUGUCCCAGGUUCGAGUCCUGGCGGGCGCG
rnacentral:tRNA from 1 species